AGUGAGCAUGUGGGUGGGUGGCAGGCAGGAAGCUUGCCAGCCUUCCAUAUUCCUCUCAAGGCCAGAGAAGC
rnacentral:miRNA from 1 species